GAACUGCAAUGCCUUUUAUGACCUAAUUUUGGGAGUCACACGCUGUCACUUCUCCUCUAUCCCACUCUUAUUCAGUGUGGGAGGGGACUCUAUGAGGCAUGAUUGUGAGGAGGUGGCCAUCCAUGGGGGUUAUCUUGGAGCUGGCUACUGCGGCCAUCAAGGAGGUACUGUGUCCUGUUAUGUGAACUGACAUUAGGUAAAGGACACUUAAAUAAGAAUAUUGUAAAAUCCUGCAGCCUCAGCAUUGUUUUCUAAAAGGACAGUUUUAUAACAGGACUCCAUUGCUGUAAAGCACAUAUCAGGUGCUUUGGUUUACACUUACUUGAAAGAGGAACCUGAAACAAGGCCUUGGGUACCAGGAGUUUAUUUGGAAGCAGGAGGGAGGGAGGAGGGAUGUGAGGUGAGGAAGGAAGAAGAGCCACAUGGGGGUUGCUACUCCAGCCUCUGUGGACUGGAUUCCUCUGGGACCUUCUAGGAGGGCUACAGAAGGCCUCCCAGCAUUGUCCUCCGGAAGUGUGGAUGACCUGCACACUGGCUCCCAACUCCAGGGUUUCUACUGGGGGCUUAGCUUCCCUUGCACUUCAGAUCUGGAUUUGCAUUCUGGCUGGGGUUCUCCAUGAUGUUGGAGAAGGUCUGAGAGGAAGCAGAACCCUUGGCUCUUGGAGGAAGGAUGCUGUCAUCACAGGGUGAGUCUGAGCUCACCCAGCUGUGGUGGAAACCAGAGGAGGCUGAGGGACUUGGCGGGGAUGCAAGAGGCACUUGCUUCAUCGUGUUUUCAGGAGCUGGGGUUUGGAGGCUGUGUUAGUUCAGCUCCUCCAAGGAGCAGGUGUCAAGACCGGGUUAGAAGGAGGAGAAGUGAGUUGGGGAAAUAUGCCUUGAGGAUGGUGGGGAGGGAGCUAGUGGAGGCUGGGAAAGCCCAGGACAGUGAUGCAGUCUGACCCUGGGGAGGAGAGAGGGAGGAAGUAAUGUGGGGCUGAAAGAAUCUUAGACUGUGAUUCAGGUCUGGGAAAGGUUCAGCAAGGCCAGUGCCGAGGCUUCAAGCCAAAGUCUCCCAUUGGUAGAGUCUUGGGUUCGGCAGCACUGGACAACUUUGUGUCCAGCUGGUGUGAAGUGUGACUUUAGUGCAAACGCAGAGGUAGGUCAGAGCAUCUCAGCCUGGCAAUCAGGCAGUCACCCUCCCUCACUACCAGUGGGAAAGGCACAUUUCUAUCACCACAGGAGUGUUAUUCAUAAGCUACGACAGGCAUGUAUUUGGGGAACCAGAGUUAUUUACUGUGAAAUAUUAGAGGUCUCCUUCUUCUUUCUGCCACAUUGCCUGAAAUUCUCCCAUAAGGUACUAAUUCCUGUGUUUCAUUGUUGCCCUCUCUUCCAGGUCAACUCUGGGAGAAAGAAUGCGUCACGUCACCAAUACUUCAGCAUGAACAAAUCAUUCAAAUGCUUUUUUUUUCAGUUUUUAUUUUUAAAAAUAUUUAUUUGUUCUUUUUAGAGAUACAUAGCAGAAGAGUGUAUUUUUACAUAUCAGACAUACAUGGAGCAUAACUUCCCAUUCGUGUGGUUGUAUGUGACGUGGAGUUACAUGGGUGGCCUCUUCAUGUAUAUACGAACCUAGGAAACUUAAGUCCGAUUCAUUCUAUUGUCUUUCCUAGUCCCACCCCCUUCGUUCAAAUUCUCUUAAUGUCUAAUAGAAGGGAUCUGGGACAACUCAAGGGCAUGUGAAAUUUGGGCAAGUGGCAACUAUGGAAAGGGACUCAGAUACGAGGCAGUGGACACACACACACACACACACACACACACACACGGGCACACCUUCACUUGUGCCAAUAUCUCGUUCCUGCUGGAAAUGGGACAAAACCAACAUCCAGUCUGCAGUGGAACAGCAGGUGAAAUGUGCUUCCAUGAAACGUCUGUUGGUGCCACUUUUCCCUAUCACCUGAAGUUUUUGAAGGGGAAUGUAUUUUUCUGGGUGGUUUGAGAAAUUAAGUAAAUGUUUUCUAAGUGACUGGAAUAUAUGAGUAGAGAAAAGGAGCAGGAGAUCCUCAGGGUUCUCAGCAGGUGAUCCGUG
rnacentral:lncRNA from 1 species